rnacentral:lncRNA from 1 species
AGCAACUGCUGCCUCAAAUUUCCAGAGAUCGACAGCUCAGGUUUUAAAGUUGCUCGGGGACUUUUCAGGACAUCAUGUCUCUAAGGAAGAAAGUAAGACCGAGUUCUGCCUCAGGGAAGUUAGAAACAUUCAACCUUAGCAGCAUACUGACAGAGCUCCAAGGGCCAUCCGCGGCUCGAGGCCCUAUGUGUCGGCACACCCAGACUCCGCAAGAAGGCAUCGGGCUGCAGGCUGCAGCUCCUGUUUCUGUCAGUGACUUUACAGAAGAAGCCCGGGAAGAUGGCUCUCCCCUCCCAGAGUGGCUGGUGAAGGAGAUGCUGAAAAAGCAGCAGAGAAGUUACUCGAUUGGGCUCAUGGAAAACAUAUCAGAGAGCACACGUGCUCAGCGUCACUUCAACCCUGCAAAGAGCCUCUGGAAAGGAAAGAUUGAACAACAAAUGACUCUCGAACAACUUCAGAGACUGAAUUCUGCAUUUCAGGAGUUGGAAAAGGAUGGCUACAAAUCAUUGGAUGUAGAGAAGUUUAAGCAGAUAAUGAAGAAGUGCAUGAGUCCACAUAGCACGAUUGAUGAGCAAGUUGAAAAGCUUUUCAUGAAAAU